GAUGAAGAACGUAGCGAAAUGCGAUACGUAAUGUGAAUUGCAGAAUUCAGUGAAUCAUCGAAUCUUUGAACGCACAUUGCGCCCGCCAGCAUUCUGGCGGGCAUGCCUGUUCGAGCGUCAUUUCAACCCUCGAGCCCCCCCGGGGGCCUCGGUGUUGGGGGACGGCACACCAGCCGCCCCCGAAAUGCAGUGGCGACCUCGCCGCAGCCUCCCCUGCGUAGUAGCACACACCUCGCACCGGAGCGCGGAGACGGUCACGCCGUAAAACGCCCAACUUCUUAGAGUUGACCUCGGAUCAGGUAGGAAUACCCGCUGAACUUAAGCAUAUCAAUAAGCGGAGGA
rnacentral:misc_RNA from 1 species